GGGCGGGUUCUAGACCAGAAAACAAUAUUUGGGCUGGGCUCGAUGUCCCCAGAGUUCAGCCAGUAAUAAGUCUAUGAUUAGAAUUUGAAGCUUAGGUCCAUUUUGUUACUUUCUCAAAUGUUGGCGGUUGUGUACCAAGUUCGUCUUUGCUUUGCAGUCACUUCGAGGAAAUCUUACUAUAGAUGCUCUUUCUCUGAUCCUGGCUCCUAAUUAGCUAGAUAGCUUUCCUUCAGUUAACAAUGGCUCAUGAACUCUAUACUCUGCAAAUACUAGCCUUAAUCUUCUCAAUUGCAACUGUUGUUACUUGUUAGUCCCCUGAGUUUAAGCUAUCCUGUAGUUUUCAACUUUGGUGAUUCAAAUUCAGAUACUGGAGAGGCUACUAUACUUCCAGCAAAUGCAGCUUCCAGGAGUCCGUUUUCAUUUGGAAUUCAGGUGGCUCAGUUUAUCAGAUUCAAGGCUUGGGUCCUUGAAUUACUGGAGAAAGAUGACUUGGAAUUUGGUUUCAGAUAAGAAACUUCGGAAGAUCCUCCCCUUGAACAUUACUUCCUGAAAGGCCUUUGCAUGUUCGAUGGCGUAUUUUACUCGAAUUGAGGGACUAGAAAACGAGGGCGCCAGGUAUUUCAGAAAUCAUAGCAAAGGACCACUUGGCUGCUUACACAGAAUUAUUGCAACAUUUGGGAAAACCUCAUCAAAGCUCGACCAGAUUGGACGUGUUAAUUCAAACACCAGUUGAAGCCAAACUACAUGCUCAUAUACAAGUGCAAAAUCUUAUGGAUACAAUGGCUUUUCAGGUUUCAAACAGCCUUUAGCAGCAUGCUGCAGAUAUGGUGGGCUGCCUUAAAUUACAACAGCCGCAGAUUGCUCACCGGGAAACCAAGAAUUUGAAUUGCAGCACAGUGACUGCAAAUCGCUGCAACAAUACUACUGAAUACGUGAAUUGGGGUGGAAAACAUUAUGGCAAAUGCGAAGAUCACAAAAAUUCAUAAGAAGGUAAUUAAAUUCUGGCUUGGAAGUUGGAAUGAAGUGCCUGAAAGUGUUCUAGGUUCGCAUGGUUGGUUUAGUACUGAGAAGGACAUUUUUCUGUUGAGGAUCUAGGGAACAUCAUACAUUAGAUUUGGUUUAUACUUAUCGCAGAUCAUUGAUUUUAUCCACCUUUCUUAUUGAAUUGUCUUUAUUGAAAAUAUUAUUA